rnacentral:rRNA from 1 species
GAUGAACGCUGGCGGCGUGCCUAAUACAUGCAAGUCGAGCGAACGGACGAGAAGCUUGCUUCUCUGAUGUUAGCGGCGGACGGGUGAGUAACACGUGGAUAACCUACCUAUAAGACUGGGAUAACUUCGGGAAACCGGAGCUAAUACCGGAUAAUAUUUUGAACCGCAUGGUUCAAAAGUGAAAGACGGUCUUGCUGUCACUUAUAGAUGGAUCCGCGCCGCAUUAGCUAGUUGGUAAGGUAACGGCUUACCAAGGCAACGAUGCGUAGCCGACCUGAGAGGGUGAUCGGCCACACUGGAACUGAGACACGGUCCAGACUCCUACGGGAGGCAGCAGUAGGGAAUCUUCCGCAAUGGGCGAAAGCCUGACGGAGCAACGCCGCGUGAGUGAUGAAGGUCUUCGGAUCGUAAAACUCUGUUAUUAGGGAAGAACAAAUGUGUAAGUAACUGUGCACAUCUUGACGGUACCUAAUCAGAAAGCCACGGCUAACUACGUG